UUACAUACUAGCUCAUUAGGAUUAGAGCGUUACCCUUGAACGGUAAAAGUAGCAGGUUCAAAUCCUGCGUAUGAAA
rnacentral:tRNA from 1 species